rnacentral:rRNA from 1 species
GUUGAACGCUGGCGGCAGGCCUAACACAUGCAAGUCGAACGAGUGGCGGACGGGUGAGUAAUGUCUGGGAAACUGCCUGAUGGAGGGGGCAAACUACUGGAAACGGUAGCUAAUACCGCAUACCAUCAGAUGUGCCCAGCUGGGAUUAGCUUGUUGGGGGGGGAACGGCUCACCAGGGCGACGAUCCCUAGCUGGUUUGAGAGGAUGACCAGCCACACGGGAACUGAGACACGGUCCAGACUCCUACGGGAGGCAGCAGUGGGGAAUAUUGCACAAUGGGCGCAAGCCUGAUGCAGCCAUGCCGCGUGUAUGAAGAAGGCCUUCGGGUUGUAAAGUACUUUCAGCGGGGAGGCGUUACCCGCAGAAGAAGCACCGGCUAACUCCGUGCCAGCAGCCGCGGUAAUAC